rnacentral:tRNA from 1 species
UGCCGAAAUGGUGGAACAGGUAGACACAAGGGACUUAAAAUCCCUUGACCUCAGGGUCGUACGAGUUCAAGUCUCGUUUUCGGCAA